UACGUAGGGUGCAAGCGUUGUCCGGAAUUAUUGGGCGUAAAGAGCUCGUAGGCGGUCUGUCGCGUCUGCUGUGAAAACUCAGGGCUUAACCCUGAGCUUGCAGUGGGUACGGGCAGACUAGAGUGCGGUAGGGGAGACUGGAAUUCCUGGUGUAGCGGUGAAAUGCGCAGAUAUCAGGAGGAACACCGGUGGCGAAGGCGGGUCUCUGGGCCGUAACUGACGCUGAGGCGCGAAGGCGUGGGGAGCGAACGGG
rnacentral:rRNA from 1 species